rnacentral:rRNA from 1 species
GAGUAGGGCGGGACACGUGGUAUCCUGUCUGAAUAUGGGGGGACCAUCCUCCAAGGCUAAAUACUCCUGACUGACCGAUAGUGAACCAGUACCGUGAGGGAAAGGCGAAAAGAACCCCGGCGAGGGGAGUGAAAAAGAACCUGAAACCGUGUACGUACAAGCAGUGGGAGCCUCUUAAUGGGGUGACUGCGUACCUUUUGUAUAAUGGGUCAGCGACUUAUAUUCUGUAGCAAGGUUAACCGAAUAGGGGAGCCGAAGGGAAACCGAGUCUUAACUGGGCGUUAAGUUGCAGGGUAUAGACCCGAAACCCGGUGAUCUAGCCAUGGGCAGGUUGAAGGUUGGGUAACACUAACUGGAGGACCGAACCGACUAAUGUUGAAAAAUUAGCGGAUGACUUGUGGCUGGGGGUGAAAGGCCAAUCAAACCGGGAGAUAGCUGGUUCUCCCCGAAAGCUAUUUAGGUAGCGCCUCGUGAAUUCAUCUCCGGGGGUAGAGCACUGUUUCGGCAAGGGGGUCAUCCCGACUUACCAACCCGAUGCAAACUGCGAAUACCGGAGAAUGUUAUCACGGGAGACACACGGCGGGUGCUAACGUCCGUCGUGAAGAGGGAAACAACCCAGACCGCCAGCUAAGGUCCCAAAGUCAUGGUUAAGUGGGAAACGAUGUGGGAAGGCCCAGACAGCCAGGAUGUUGGCUUAGAAGCAGCCAUCAUUUAAAGAAAGCGUAAUAGCUCACUGGUCGAGUCGGCCUGCGCGGAAGAUGUAACGGGGCUAAACCAUGCACCGAAGCUGCGGCAGCGACACUAUGUGUUGUUGGGUAGGGGAGCGUUCUGUAAGCCUGUGAAGGUGUACUGUGAGGUAUGCUGGAGGUAUCAGAAGUGCGAAUGCUGACAUAAGUAACGAUAAAGCGGGUGAAAAGCCCGCUCGCCGGAAGACCAAGGGUUCCUGUCCAACGUUAAUCGGGGCAGGGUGAGUCGACCCCUAAGGCGAGGCCGAAAGGCGUAGUCGAUGGGAAACAGGUUAAUAUUCCUGUACUUGGUGUUACUGCGAAGGGGGGACGGAGAAGGCUAUGUUGGCCGGGCGACGGUUGUCCCGGUUUAAGCGUGUAGGCUGGUUUUCCAGGCAAAUCCGGAAAAUCAAGGCUGAGGCGUGAUGACGAGGCACUACGGUGCUGAAGCGACAAAUGCCCUGCUUCCAGGAAAAGCCUCUAAGCAUCAGGUAACAUCAAAUCGUACCCCAAACCGACACAGGUGGUCAGGUAGAGAAUACCAAGGCGCUUGAGAGAACUCGGGUGAAGGAACUAGGCAAAAUGGUGCCGUAACUUCGGGAGAAGGCACGCUGAUAUGUAGGUGAAGCGACUUGCUCGUGGAGCUGAAAUCAGUCGAAGAUACCAGCUGGCUGCAACUGUUUAUUAAAAACACAGCACUGUGCAAACACGAAAGUGGACGUAUACGGUGUGACGCCUGCCCGGUGCCGGAAGGUUAAUUGAUGGGGUUAGCGGUAACGCGAAGCUCUUGAUCGAAGCCCCGGUAAACGGCGGCCGUAACUAUAACGGUCCUAAGGUAGCGAAAUUCCUUGUCGGGUAAGUUCCGACCUGCACGAAUGGCGUAAUGAUGGCCAGGCUGUCUCCACCCGAGACUCAGUGAAAUUGAACUCGCUGUGAAGAUGCAGUGUACCCGCGGCAAGACGGAAAGACCCCGUGAACCUUUACUAUAGCUUGACACUGAACA